AAAUUGAAGAGUUUGAUCAUGGCUCAGAUUGAACGCUGGCGGCAGGCCUAACACAUGCAAGUCGAACGGUAACAGGAAGCAGCUUGCUGCUUCGCUGACGAGUGGCGGACGGGUGAGUAAUGUCUGGGAAACUGCCUGAUGGAGGGGGAUAACUACUGGAAACGGUGGCUAAUACCGCAUAACGUCGCAAGACCAAAGAGGGGGACCUUCGGGCCUCUUGCCAUCAGAUGUGCCCAGAUGGGAUUAGCUUGUUGGUGAGGUAACGGCUCACCAAGGCGACGAUCCCUAGCUGGUCUGAGAGGAUGACCAGCCACACUGGAACUGAGACACGGUCCAGACUCCUACGGGAGGCAGCAGUGGGGAAUAUUGCACAAUGGGCGCAAGCCUGAUGCAGCCAUGCCGCGUGUAUGAAGAAGGCCUUCGGGUUGUAAAGUACUUUCAGCGGGGAGGAAGGUGUUGCGGUUAAUAACCGCAGCAAUUGACGUUACCCGCAGAAGAAGCACCGGCUAACUCCGUGCCAGCAGCCGCGGUAAUACGGAGGGUGCAAGCGUUAAUCGGAAUUACUGGGCGUAAAGCGCACGCAGGCGGUCUGUCAAGUCGGAUGUGAAAUCCCCGGGCUCAA
rnacentral:rRNA from 3 species